rnacentral:lncRNA from 1 species
CUCAGUACAAAACUGUCAGCUCCCGCACUUGCCUGGAGCAGUGGGAAGUACGUGGUGGUUUGUUUUGUUUUGUUUUCUGUCAUGUGUGUGGGGACUUUGCCUAUAUGUAUGUGCAGCACAUGGCCUGUCUUGUAUCUGGGAAGGCCAGAGGUGGGUGUUGGAUCCCCUGGAACUAGAAUUAACAGGUAAUUGUGAGCUGCCAUGUAUGUGCUGGGAAUUGAACCUGGGCCCUCUGGAAGAGCAGCCAGUGUACUCAACUAUGGAGCUGUCUCAACCUCCACACAGUGUCUGUUUUCAUACGCUGCUGUCUGACCAAGCUUUGUAGGUUUUGGUGGCCUUUUUGUAGCUCAAACCCCACCAUCUUACCUUAAUGUCUGUGGGAUUCUAAAACAGGUCAGAACAUCUCCCAAGGACCCACAUGUGCAACAUACACUCGUGAUAUAUUGGGAGGUGGCAGGGUAGGUCGUCACCUGGUGUACCAGAAACCAACCUGAGUAAGCUAAGGGGAACAGGCUGGUCUGCAGCCCCCCUCUGGGGCCUCUGCUUCUGUCCUGCCUCCAGGCUCCAUCAUUCCUUGAGUUCCUGCCCUCCAUUGUGGAUGGUAAUCUGAGGUGUAAUAAAGCCCUUUCCUCCUCAGCUUUGUUUUGGUCACUGUGGAAAUCUAACUAAGACAGAAAUCAGAACCAGGAGUGGGGGUUUGCUGUGAAACCUGACCACGUUGCCUGGCAAGGAUUAUGGAGGUAUUUGGACCUUUGGGCUAGAAAAGCCAUUAAGCACUUAAAGCAUCGUGGGUUGUUCUGUGGGAAGCCCGGUGAUGGAGUCCUGGCCUACAAAGUUCAGACGGAGGCAAAGGCUACGGUGGCCACUUGUGAUCUGUUUUAAAUUUAGAAUCUGUGGUUCUGGUCAGCUGGGGCUGAAGAACCAGUUGUGAUAAACAGACCGGAAUUACUGAAGUGAAUCCUUUGCUUUAACUGAUGCUAACUGAAUCAGUUGUGAUUUAGAAGAGACCAGCAUCAUUAAGAUAAAACCUAGAAAUCUGGGG